rnacentral:rRNA from 1 species
AAUAGAUACCCUGGUAGUCCACGCCGUAAACGAUGAGUGCUAAGUGUUAGAGGGUUUCCGCCCUUUAGUGCUGCAGCUAACGCAUUAAGCACUCCGCCUGGGGAGUACGGCCGCAAGGCUGAAACUCAAAGGAAUUGACGGGGGCCCGCACAAGCGGUGGAGCAUGUGGUUUAAUUCGAAGCAACGCGAAGAACCUUACCAGGUCUUGACAUCCUCUGCUAACCCUAGAGAUAGGGCGUUCCCCUUCGGGGGACAGAGUGACAGGUGGUGCAUGGUUGUCGUCAGCUCGUGUCGUGAGAUGUUGGGUUAAGUCCCGCAACGAGCGCAACCCUUGAUCUUAGUUGCCAGCAUUCAGUUGGGCACUCUAAGAUGACUGCCGGUGACAAACCGGAGGAAGGUGGGGAUGACGUCAAAUCAUCAUGCCCCUUAUGACCUGGGCUACACACGUGCUACAAUGGAUGGUACAAAGAGCUGCGAACCCGGCGAGGGUAAGCCAAAUCUCAUAAAGCCAUUCUCAGUUCGGAUUGGUAC